AGUGAACGCUGGCGGUAGGCCUAACACAUGCAAGUCGAACGGCAGCACAGUAAGAGCUUGCUCUUACGGGUGGCGAGUGGCGGACGGGUGAGGAAUACAUCGGAAUCUACUUUUUCGUGGGGGAUAACGUAGGGAAACUUACGCUAAUACCGCAUACGACCUACGGGAGAAAGCAGGGGAUCUUCGGACCUUGCGCGAUUGAAUGAGCCGAUGUCGGAUUAGCUAGUUGGCGGGGUAAAGGCCCACCAAGGCGACGAUCCGUAGCUGGUCUGAGAGGAUGAUCAGCCACACUGGAACUGAGACACGGUCCAGACUCCUACGGGAGGCAGCAGUGGGGAAUAUUGGACAAUGGGCGCAAGCCUGAUCCAGCCAUACCGCGUGGGUGAAGAAGGCCUUCGGGUUGUAAAGCCCUUUUGUUGGGAAAGAAAAGCAGCAGGUUAAUACCCCGCUGUUCUGACGGUACCCAAAGAAUAAGCACCGACUAACUUCGUG
rnacentral:rRNA from 1 species